ACCCUCUCAGGAUUGCAACUGGAGAGUUUCCAGUGCUCUACCAGCCUCAGCUGCAGGAGGGAGAGUCAAGCAGAGACAUAUCCAUUCCAUUCCUAGCUUGGGCAGUGGCUAGCGAGUGGAAGGCGAUCUGCUACAAGU